UACGAAGGGGACUAGCGUUACUCGGAAUUAUUGGGCGUAAAGCGUGCGUAGGCGGCCUAGAAAGUUGGAAGUGAAAGCCUUGAGCUCAACUCAAGAACUGCUUUCAAAACUCCUAGGCUUGAGUUUCGGAGGGGAUAGCGGAAUUCCUAGUGUAGAGGUGAAAUUCGUAGAUAUUAGGAGGAACGCCGGUGGCGAAAGCGGCUAUCUGGACGAACACUGACGCUGUUGCACGAAAGCGUGGGUAGCAAACAGG
rnacentral:rRNA from 1 species